rnacentral:rRNA from 1 species
GUGAGGAAUAUUGGUCAAUGGGCGGGAGCCUGAACCAGCCAAGUCGCGUGAAGGAAGAAGGAUCUAUGGUUCGUAAACUUCUUUUGCAGGGGAAUAAAGUGCAGGACGUGUCCUGUUUUGUAUGUACCCUGAGAAUAAGGAUCGGCCAACUCCGUGCCAGCAGCCGCGGUAAUACGGAGGAUCCGAGCGGUAUCCGGAUUUAUUGGGUUUAAAGGGUGCGUAGGUGGUUUGAUAAGUCAGCGGUGAAAGUUUGCAGCUUAACUGUAAAAAUGCCGUUGAAACUGUCGGACUUGAGUGUAAAUGAGGUAGGCGGAAUGCGUGGUGUAGCGGUGAAAUGCAUAGAUAUCACGCAGAACUCCGAUUGCGAAGGCAGCUUACUAAGCUACAACUGACACUGAAGCACGAAAGCGUGGGGAUCAAACAGGAUUAGAAACCCGGGUAGUCC